rnacentral:rRNA from 1 species
AUUGAACGCUGGCGGCAGGCCUAACACAUGCAAGUCGAACGAGUGGCGGACGGGUGAGUAAGGUCUGGGAAACUGCCUGAGGGAGGGGGAUAACUAAUGGAAACGGUAGCUAAUACCGCAUACCAUCAGAUGUGCCCAGAGGGGAUUAGCUAGUUGGUGGGGUAACGGCUCACCAAGGCGACGAUCCCUAGCUGGUCUGAGAGGAUGACCAGCCACACUGGAACUGGUGCACGGUCCAGACGCCUACGGGAGGCAGCAGUGGGGAAUAUUGCACAAUGGGCGCAAGCCUGAUGCCGCCAUGCCGCGUGUAUGAAGAAGGCCUUCGGGUUGUAAAGUACUUUCAGCGGUGAGGCGUUACCCGCAGAAGAAGCACCGGCUAACUCCGUGCCAGCAGCCGCGGUAAUUC